GAGUUUGAUUAUGGCUCAGGAUGAACGCUGGCGGCGUGCUUAACACAUGCAAGUCGAACGGGCGAAUUAUAUCGGAGGUCUUCGGGCCGAAGAGAUAAUAAGCUAGUGGCGGACGGGCGCGUAACGUGUGGGUAAUCUGCCUUUGUCAUAGGAAUAACUGCUUGAAAAAGUAGCUAAUACCAAAUAACAUAUCGUAUAGGCAUCUAUAAGAUAUCAAAGAGAAAUCGGACAAAGAUGAGCCCGCAUCUGAUUAGCUGGUUGGUAGGGUAAAAGCCUACCAAGGCGACGAUCAGUAGCCGGCCUGAGAGGGUGAACGGCCACAUUGGAACUGAGACACGGUCCAAACUCCUACGGGAGGCAGCAGUGGGGAAUAUUGCACAAUGGGGGGAACCCUGAUGCAGCAACGCCGCGUGAGUGAAGAAGGCUUUCGAGUCGUAAAACUCUGUUGUAAGGGAAGAUAAUGACG
rnacentral:rRNA from 1 species